GUUUAGGAUGUUCUCGUGGGGAUGGGUUUGGGAAGGCCGGGUUUCAUCCCGGUUGCCAUCUUGACUCCUGCCUCCUCCAUCUCUCUCCCCGCGUCACCAUGGGAGCCCCGCCGACGCCUGCCAUCCCUCCUCCCUCGUCUCCGUUCGAAGCCGAGGACCGGCUCACCCCACAGCUUUUCUCCACCUACGACCUAGGGUUGGGGAGGGAGGCCGGGUCUUCUCGGUGGGGUGGAGGAGCCGGGGAUGGCCGGGAGGCCGACGGUGGGGGGAGCAUCGAGGCCGGCGGAUGGAGCAGCGAGGCCCGAGCUCUAGGCGUCGUACACAUUGAUGGAUGGAGAAGAGGCCGGCGUGGGGCGCAAGGAGCAGCGGGGGGAGAACGGUGGGGCUUUCAUCUCCUCUCUUCUAAUCGCGACUCCUGUGACCUCGCCACCGGUGCUCGCUCGACUGGCGUAUGGGGCGGCGGCCGGGACGUUGGCCCUCGGCCGAACUCGAAGCCGAGUCUAGCUGACAAGACUCGUGGUAUACUGAUUCCUUGAUGCUCUGUUCAUGAAGCUAUGCAGGCCGGCGGUUAGUGUUGCAGCCUGCACACACGACAGGAGCAGCAGUCAGGUCCAUGGACAUUGCUUUGGGAGCAGCGGUCAAGCCACGGGGUACCAUCAAUUCAGAAAAUAACUUUCCUUCUUGUGAGAUAUCAAACAAUACAUUUCCUACAAAUCCGAGAUUCAGGCAGCCUUGUUGAUGUACGAAGAAUUGGUGCAUUUUGUCGGAAGAUGACGAACUAUUUCUUCACUCACAUGGCCAGGUACAUGCAAAUCUUUAUGUUUUUCAAGAUUGCUGGGUCUGUAGUCUGUACAUGGGCUACAUUCAUUUUCUCAUAUGUGUUUCUACUGGUUCGCAGCAGCUACCUAUUGGCCUUUUUUGACGUACCUUUAUUAACAUGUUAUCAGGUAUACGAUCACUUUUAGAGCAUGUUAUCACAUACCACAUGGUUUAGUGAGACAUACCAAUAUCAUUAUAAAUCUCUGGUUUACUAUCGAAUUCUUGAAUUUUUAUUUGAGAUCCUUUUGUUCAUCUCCUCCAAUUGUUGUCUGAAAAUAGUCUUGUUUUACCCACAUCAUUUCUAUAAACCAAGUAGCCUUUGGAGGAUGUAGCAAACCUUCAUGUCUGCAGCCUGUCAUCCUUGAACAAGACUAAUUGGAAAUUGUCUGAUAUUGAACUUUUGAAGUACGAAAUUUAUGCUUUCGUUACCUACUUAGCUAUGUUACACGCCAUUCAUUCAUUUGCUAUGUGAUCUUGAUCUGUGCUUUGCAUUCUUACUUGAUUGGUUAUUCCCAGAUUGAUCUCAAUGUUUUGAAUGCUCAAGUCAACCAUGAUACUUAAAAUCGUCUCUUAACUUAUUGCAUUCACUGCUGAAAUUUUCACACUCCCUGUCAUUAUUGUGUACAGUGAAUCUUGCAUCUUUUGAAUUGUUGAAACAAACUUAUGCGUAAUUAUGGGGCAUCCAAUGCAAGCCCCAGCCACGGGAUGUCAGUUCCGCACCGCUGCCAGCGACCGCCGUUCUGUUGCCUUGGAUUCGGGUGUGGCGUUGGCUGGGAACCGUAUGGUGUUUGUCUGACGCGCCGUCCGCAUCGUGGGGGUUUGGUCGGUUGACUCCAGGUAUGAGCAGCUCCUGAGCUUGAUGGCUGGAUGUAUCAUGGUCAUGUUGCUUGGUGUGCAGAGGCAACCUCAUUUUUGGACCAAAAAGAGGGGCGAUGACGAUGACGACUGGCUGAAACAAUCAUGUCUUGAGCAAUCAAGACAGCCUUGGCUUGUGGGACUAAACAGAGCUGAAAAAGUCGGUGUCACCGUUGGAGUUGCCCUUAGAGCCUACCCUAACCUCUGUUGUAGCCUGCUCAAUUUUAUUGCCGAUGUUGGAUGAUCUGUGCCUUGGACGGUUGUUCUGAUGAGUGAUACUCUGGGACUAGGUCUAUUUCAACACACUAACCCAUUGACCUCCCAUGUUCCUGGGGAGCGUUGCAUGUCGGAAAAGUUAGGGUUUGUGUCACACAAAGUUCUGCAUUGACACUUAGAAAGUAAGUGAAAAGUGAUAUGCCAUUUUUUGAGGCUAUCUACAAUCCCGUUAAAAGGCAACUGCUAAACACCGAAGGGCAAUGGAACUCAAUUUGUCGGUAUCGCAGUUUGAUAAAUUAUAUUAGUGGUAUUUCUUGGAUUUAUAUAAGAAAAACAAAAAUAGCUACCUUUGUGUGAAUUACAAUGCUAAUGAUCAAUUCUUUGUAUCAGACAUGAAUGGACAGAUUCAAGAUUUCCUUUCACCUAGGCUUGGUUAGUUGGCCACUUCAAUUCCCACUUCCUGUCAUGUAAUCUUGAUGUCGAUACUUUGACAUUACAUACAGAAUAUGAUGCAAUAUGUAGAAGUUACUAAUGGUCAAAAAUUUUCUGGAUACGACGCUUGCUUACUCCUAUUCACAUUAUGUAGAAGUUGCAUAAGGCAGAACAAGAAUAAGAACAUUUGUCAGUUUUUUCAUUUGCAGGUUCAGCAGCGGGCAAUGCUCAAGACAGAGUUGGGCGCACAUCAUAUAUAUACAUAUGUUGUCGUGUCUUAAUAAAUGGAGAUGAGCAGAAGUAGAGAUGAAAUAGGCUGUUCUGUUGCUUCUGUGACCGGCAAGUGUUCAUUGCAUGCCUGUGUGUCGUUGUGCUCUGAUUGGUUGUUUUUUGUGUAUUUUCGCAGGUUGCACGAGCUCUGCUGUAGCUGCGUCGUUCGACUCAUCAAGAUAUACCACGAAGGGAAGAUCUGCCUCACUGUGCACUUCAGGGGCGCAUACACUAGCGAUGGUACAGGAUUGGCUUCCUGGUGGAAUCAGGUGCGCGUCGUCCAUGGUGGCCUGUCGUGGGUGAAAAUAGUGUUGUCGGGUGAUAAUCAUUCUUGGCAGUGAUUCUUGUUGUGGAUGGGAUAUUGAUGCAGAUAUACCACGAAGGGAAGAUCUGCCUCACUGUGCACUUCAGGGGCGCAUACACUAGCGAUGGUACAGGAUUGGCUUCCUGGUGGAAUCAGGUGCGCGUCGUCCAUGGUGGCCUGUCGUGGGUGUUGGUGGGCGGCUGGAGGCGGCUGUAGCAGGUCGAUUUAUCUGACUACUGAAAAUGAGCUUCAGAAUAUCUGUAGAACGUAGCCCACUUCCAGCCAAAUAUCAAUUAUGAUAAUUCCACCAUGUACCAUGAUCAUUUGAACAGUCUUGCUUAAGUUUAUGUUAGCCCUGUAUGCUAAUUUGAGGAGAUUGUUAACUUUAAGGUGCGAACAUUUAUAAAAUGAUAAUUGUACCGUUCUUUGGGAUUUUGUGAUUCCUAUGGAAUUAAGAGGUCAUCUAUUGCCCUAUCCCUAUUUGUAAUUUCAAAUAGUUAUUUUUGGGUGCACUUCUGUUUUAGAAAUGAAUCAGUAACCAAUUAUGCUUGAUGUUUCAAGCAGAACUAGAAUUGGUAAACAACUAUCUGUGAAGCAUAUAUGGAGGCGGGAGUCUGGUUUGUUUUUUUGCUAUGUGCCUAUUUGCUUAAGAAAAUACUUGACUAGAGAGCAGAUUCCAAAUGGAGCUGCAUUUUCAUGCGUCAGGUCUAUUUUUUAUUUGCAAUGUUGCACCCUCUUUUCAUUUCUUGUGAAUAUUUUUUUUGUUUGAUCAGUACUGCACCUGGUUAUCUACAGAGGAAGGCAAGGAUAACUAGAUUAAACAUUUCACAAGACCCUCCCAAUUACAGGCACAAACUCCUUUCAAGAUAUUACAAGUGUGGUUGAUUAUGGGAGAUUGUCAGAUGAAAAGAAGGUAUAUCCUUUAUAUUUAUCUAGAUGUUUAAUUAGCUGCACAACCAUACGUGAUUCUAUAAGGAAACUAUUUAUCCUGAUGAUCUUGAUAUCCAGUCAUGUAUUACAGUAUUAGUAUAGGCUGUAAUUUUUGGCUAGGAAUCUAUAUAUACAGAACCUAAACUGAAGACUCAAUAUAGCACAUAUACUUGGCCAGUUAUCCUAAGAAUAUUAAUCCACCUGGACUUUUAACUUGACUUCCAAAGAAGUUCUUAACGAUCAAGCAUUUUUGAGUUUUUAGUAAAUUGAAAUAAUGUUGCACUUUGACAAUACUAUUCUGAUUUUGCAAGUUAAUAGAAAUCCUUCAAUUUCAUAUCACUAUUUUAAUCGCAUAUUUGGAUGAUUGCGACAUUAUCUCUUCUCGGAAUUCCGCUUGCAUGUUUCCAGUUGAGACAAUAACUGAGUUUGAUAAGUAACCACUAUAUUAUUUUCUAUGUGUACACAUGUUGUCGCUCUGCUUGAGUCAUCCAUCUCCACAUUACGAGCCCGAGACUUCCAUCACAACAAUCUAUAUGUAUCCAGGUAGUGUCCAAUAUGUACACACAGGCUCCUCUCACAGGUCGACUAAGCUGAUUGUAACUGAAUGUGUGUGUGUGGCCGUGAAGCAGACUUUAUCUUGGUCUGAGUAUCAGUUCCCUUCAAUGGUACAAUUUUGGAUACUAUUUUCUUCUAGAUGUAUAGGUUUCUGCUGGUCCCAUUGGCUGCUACAUUUUAGUGAUACGAUAGCUCAAUGUCAUGCUCACCAAUUGUUCUGUAAAAAUGAAAAAUCGACUUGACUGUAUUUUGUACCUGUUUUAGUAAUUACAUGAUGUGAUUAGUUUCAUUCUAGAUAUGGAAAUAUUCUAAGGGUUAAGCUUUUUGAGACGUUAAGGUAUCUGAUGAUUAAUUAGCCUUUGUAAGAUUUAUGCACUCAUGUCAUACAACCUAGAUAAUUCUCCUUGGAUCUCCAUAAUUUCUAAUUGAAUAUAGAUGUAUACUGACAGUAAAUCCCGUUUUAGUAAUUAGUUGGAUAUAAGUGAUAAUUCUUUGACAUGUUUUUAUGAAAUGUCUGCUUAAAUCAGCGUUAGAUGCUCCCAUAAUCGAUUACUUUUUGGAUAUGAAUUAUUACUAUAAGAAGUAUAUUGGUUCUCCGGUGUUUUCAGUUCUUACAAUAAACAAAUUAUAUUGUUUUCCACUAAUCAUUUCUCAUGUAGUUUUACUCUGCAGUAUGUAUCUUUUGCUUCAUAACUCAUCUGUUCACAAGAUUGAUGCCUAGAAAUUUCAGCCUUCCGUGCUAAAUGCCGUCUGCUCAUUUGUAACGGCAUAGAGAUAGGAACGAGCAAUUCAUCUUAAGUUUGAGAAAGUGGCGGACAAAAGAGAACUGGACUAUUGUUGCUGAGCGCUAGCUCUGGCCGCACGAUCAUCUAUAUAUAUAGUUUUCAACAGUAAAUGCAUCCUGAUUGGUAUAGCACAAAUGGAAAUCUUACUUUCUUCUAAACUCUUAAUUUCAAGAUGAACUGGAGAGGGGAAUUUGUACUAAGUUUGGAAUCUAUCACAGUAAGUGUGUAUUUGCGGUAUUGAUGUACAGUUAUUAAGAAAGUUACAUUUUUCAGCUAUUGUGCUACUGAGAAGGAAGCAUGGCUGAGAA